UUUCCUCCUCCCCUCUUUUCCCUCCAAUUGCACUCUCUUCGGAGAGUAUGCCUGGUUGAGGGUCAGCCUAAAAAAAAUCGACGUAGUCGCUGUUUCGCGGUGACAGUCGUCGGAAAUUGGGUCAUCUUAAACCUGUGGGUUUUUUAAGCGGCUUAAAAUUUUCUUUACGAUUCAACGAACGUGUCUAAGAUUUUACUUAUUACACACGUUUAAGGUAUCGAUCUUUAUUAGACGUAGCCGUUACAUCUGAUCGCGGCGAUCAAUAUU
rnacentral:misc_RNA from 1 species